rnacentral:rRNA from 2 species
GAUUUCUGACGAAACUGCUAGCUGGCCCGUCACGUCAGUGAUGUGUGCCGGCUUGGCGUUUGUCAUCCGUUCGAAUGAUAUGCGCGCUGCCCUUCACUGGGUUGGUGCUGCAUGUUUUCGAUCUUUUACUUUGAAAAAAUUAGAGUGUUUAAAGCAGGCUUAUGCUGUGAAUACAUUAGCAUGGAAUAAUAAUUUAGGACUUCGGUUCUAUUUUGUUGGUUUCUAGGACUGAAGUAAUGAUUGAUAGGGACAGUUGGGGGUGCUAGUAUUCCGCGGCCAGAGGUGAAAUUCUUGGAUUCGCGGAAGACUAACUACUGCGAAAGCAUU